CCCAGACUCCUACGGGAGGCAGCAGUGAGGAAUAUUGGUCAAUGGGCUUACGCCUGAACCAGCCAAGUCGCGUGAGGGAAGACUGCCCUAUGGGUUGUAAACCUCUUUUGUCAGGGAGCAACGCCGGCUACGUGUAGCCGGACUGAGAGUACCUGAAGAAAAAGCAUCGGCUAACUCCGUGCCAGCAGCCGCGGUAAUACGGAGGAUGCGAGCGUUAUCCGGAUUUAUUGGGUUUAAAGGGUGCGUAGGCGGAGCGUUAGGUCAGGGGUCAAAUGGGGGGGCUCACCCCCUCCCCGCCAUUGAAACUGGCGCUCUUGAGUGGAAGAGAAGUAUGCGGAAUGCGUGGUGUAGCGGUGAAAUGCAUAGAUAUCACGCAGAACCCCGAUUGCGAAGGCAGCAUGCCGGCUUCCGACUGACGCUGAAGCACGAAAGCGUGGGGAUCGAACAGGAUUAGAUACCCGUGUAA
rnacentral:rRNA from 1 species